UCGAAAAAUGAUUGCUAAUGGUCAAGUUAUAUAUAGAUGACUCAAUAGACUACUGAGAGGCCAUAUUUAUAUUUCUUUCAUACCCGCAGCAACGAGCGAAAAAUCCUCCUAGUUCCUUAAAAAUGAAAGGAUGCAAAUGGUCCCUUAAUGUUCUAGUAUCCGGUUGAUUUUAGUUUUUUUUUUAAACAAACAAAGCUUGGAGAGACUUUUUUUUUUGCAAGGUACACUAUUGUCGUUGUCUGCAAUAAAGUACUAUACCUACUUCAUUAUGGGUUUUCCCGUUCUCCUUAUCAAGAAUACACCUAUAUAUGUCUAGCCCUGCCCUGAAUAUAUCUGCAAGUACAAGUACAACUUUUCCAACAAUUGCACUUUCUCUCACCCAAACUUGAGAACGCAAUAUGUAUGCCCAAACGGCCAAACCUCGAAUAAAUCAGU
rnacentral:lncRNA from 1 species